rnacentral:sRNA from 1 species
AUUUAGCCCUGAUUGUAGUGACAUCCCUUGCUGAUUGUGUGCGUAGCGACACAAUUAACAAGGAUACAGCGCAAAGCAGGACAAAAU